UACGUAGGGAGCGAGCGUUGUCCGGAUUUACUGGGUGUAAAGGGUGCGUAGGCGGCUAUGCAAGUCAGUAGUGAAAUCCAUGGGCUUAACCCAUGAACUGCUAUUGAAACUGCACAGCUUGAGUGAAGUAGAGGUAGGCGGAAUUCCCGGUGUAGCGGUGAAAUGCGUAGAGAUCGGGAGGAACACCAGUGGCGAAGGCGGCCUACUGGGCUUUAACUGACGCUGAGGCACGAAAGCGCGGGUAGCAAACAGG
rnacentral:rRNA from 1 species